rnacentral:rRNA from 1 species
AACGAUGAUGGGGAGCUUGCUCCCUGGAUUAGUGGCGAACGGGUGAGUAACACGUGAGCAACCUGCCCCUAACUCUGGGAUAACGCUUCGAAAGGAGUGCUAAUACCGGAUACCAGCUAAGAGGACAUCCUCUUGGCUUGAAAGUCUUUCGGUUAGGGAUGGGCUCGCGGCCUAUCAGCUAGUUGGUGAGGUAAAAGCUCACCAAGGCGACGACGGGUAUCCGGCCUGAGAGGGCGACCGGACACACUGGGACUGAGACACGGCCCAGACUCC